rnacentral:tRNA from 1 species
CGCUAGCUGGCUCAGUCUGCAGAGCAUGAGACCCUAGUUCUUGGGGUCGUGAGUUCAAGCCCCACGUUGGCUG